rnacentral:misc_RNA from 1 species
GAUGAAGAACGCAGCAAAAUGCGAUAAGUAAUGUGAAUUGCAGAAUUCAGUGAAUCAUCGAAUCUUUGAACGCACAUUGCGCCCGCUGGUAUUCCGGCGGGCAUGCCUGUUCGAGCGUCAUUUCAACCCUCAAGCCCCCGGGUUUGGUGUUGGGGAUCGGCUCUGCCCUUCUGGGCGAUGCCGCCCCCGAAAUACAUUGGCGGUCUCGCUGCAGCCUCCAUUGCGUAGUAGCUAACACCUCGCAACUGGAACGCGGCGCGGCCAUGCCGUAAAACCCCAACUUCUGAAUGUUGACCUCGGAUCAGGUAGGAAUACCCGCUGAACUUAAGCAUAUCAAUAAGCGGAGGA